rnacentral:rRNA from 1 species
GACGAACGCUGGCGGCGUGCUUAACACAUGCAAGUCGAACGGAGUGGCGAACGGGUGAGUAACACGUGGGUGACCUGCCCUGCACUUCGGGAUAAGCCUGGGAAACUGGGUCUAAUACCGGAUAGUGUGGGAUGGGCCCGCGGCCUAUCAGCUUGUUGGUGGGGUAAUGGCCUACCAAGGCGGCGACGGGUAGCCGGCCUGAGAGGGUGGAAGGCCACAUGGGGACUGAGACAGGGCCCAGACGCCUACGUGGGGCAGCGGGGGGGAAUAUUGCACAAUCGUGGGAAGCGUGUUGCAGCGACGCCAGGUGGGGGAUGACGGCCUUGGGGGGGGAAACUCCUUUCACCAUCGACGCGGUAGAUGGAGAAGAAGCACCGGCUAACUACGUGCCAGCAGCCGCGGUAAUAC